rnacentral:rRNA from 1 species
CCUACGGGUGGCAGCAGUGAGGAAUAUUGGUCAAUGGGCGCGAGCCUGAACCAGCCAAGUAGCGUGAAGGAUGACUGCACUACGGGUUGUAAACUUCUUUUAUAAAGGAAUAAAGUGAGGCACGUGUGCCUUUUUGUAUGUACUUUAUGAAUAAGGAUCGGCUAACUCCGUGCCAGCAGCCGCGGUAAUACGGAGGAUCCGAGCGUUAUCCGGAUUUAUUGGGUUUAAAGGGAGCGGAGAUGGGUUGUUAAGUCAGUUGGUAAAGUUUGGGGCCCAACCGUAAAAUUGCAAUUGAUACUGGCAGUCUUGAGUUCAGGUGAGGUAUGCGGAAUUCGUGGUGUAGCGGUGAAAUGCUUAGAUAUCACGAAGAACUCCGAUUGCGAAGGCAGCUUACUAAACUGCCACUGACAUUGAUGCUCGAAAGUGUGGGUAUCAAACAGGAUUAGAUACCCCAGUAGUC